GCCUUGCACGCCGAGUCUGCCUUCGGGCAGGCGACACCCGCCUGUAGCUGGAAGGUUCCCCCGGGUCUCCGGGGGCAACGAUCAGCUGCUGCACGCCCGGGGCGUGCAGUUCACAGAUCAAACGCGGGUGGCCUGCGCCCGCCAGGUUGAGAUAUGACCGUAGCAGCUCCGCCAGGAGCCUGGCAUGCUAGUUCCGUAGGUGAACCUGCGGAAGGAUCAUUA
rnacentral:rRNA from 1 species